rnacentral:rRNA from 1 species
GAUGAACGCUGGCGGCGUGCCUAAUACAUGCAAGUCGAGCGAACAGACGAGAGUGCUUGCACUCUCUGACGUUAGCGGCGGACGGGUGAGUAACACGUGGGUAACCUACCUAUAAGACUGGGAUAACUUCGGGAAACCGGAGCUAAUACCGGAUAAUAUUUAGCUUCGCAUGAAGCAAUAGUGAAAGACGGUUCUGCUGUCACUUAUAGAUGGACCCGCGGUGUAUUAGCUAGUUGGUGAGGUAACGGCUCACCAAGGCAACGAUACAUAGCCGACCUGAGAGGGUGAUCGGCCACACUGGGACUGAGACACGGCCCAGACUCCUACGGGAGGCAGCAGUAGGGAAUCUUCCGCAAUGGACGAAAGUCUGACGGAGCAAUGCCGCGUGAGUGAAGAAGGUGUUCGGAUCGUAAAACUCUGUUGUAAGGGAAGAACAAGUACGUGAGUAACUGAACGUACCUUGACGAUACCUGACCAGAAAGCCACGGCUAACUACGUG